rnacentral:misc_RNA from 1 species
GAUGAAGAACGCAGCGAAAUGCGAUAAGUAAUGCGAAUUGCAGAAUUCCGUGAGUCAUCGAAUCUUUGAACGCACAUUGCGCCCUCUGGUAUUCCGGGGGGCAUGCCUGUCCGAGCGUCAUUGCUGCCCUCAAGCACGGCUUGUGUGUUGGGCCGCCGUCCCCGGUUUCCCCCGGGGACGGGCCCGAAAGGCAGCGGCGGCACCGCGUCCGAUCCUCGAGCGUAUGGGGCUUUGUCACCCGCUCUGUAGGCCCGGCCGGCGCCAGCCGACACCCAACUUUAUUUCUAAGGUUGACCUCGGAUCAGGUAGGGAUACCCGCUGAACUUAAGCAUAUCAAUAAGCGGAGGA